CCCUUAGAUGUCCUGGGCUGCACGCGCGCUACACUGGAAGUUACGGAUUGAGAUACUACCUUGUCCGAAAUGGUCCGGGUAAUCACCUAAAAGCUUGUCAUAAUUGGAAUGGAUUAUUGUAACUAGUAAUCCUGAACGAGGAAUUCCUAGUAAGUCCCAGUCAACAGCUGGUACUGAUUACGUCCCUGCCCUUUGUACACACCGCCCGUCGCUACUACUGAUUGGACGUUUAAGCAAGAUUUUUAAACACUGACAGUGUGUAGUUCGCGCUAUACUACAGUGAGAAGAAGAAGAUCGAGCUUACUUGUCUAGAGGAAGUAAAAGUCGUAACA
rnacentral:rRNA from 1 species